rnacentral:rRNA from 1 species
AAUAGAUAUUCAAUUUUGAGUAGGUAUUACUCAGAGUUAAGUGACGAUAGCCUAGGAGAUACACCUGUACCCAUGCCGAACACAGAAGUUAAGCCCUAGAACGCCGGAAGUAGUUGGGGGUUGCCCCCUGUGAGAUAGGGAAGUCGCUUAGCUCUAGGGAGUUUAGCUCAGCUGGGAGAGCAUCUGCCUUACAAGCAGAGGGUCAGCGGUUCGAUCCCGUUAACUCCCAAAGGUCCCGUAGUGUAGCGGUUAUCACGUCGCCCUGUCACGGCGAAGAUCGCGGGUUCGAUUCCCGUCGGGACCGUUUAAGGUAACGCAAGUUAUUUUAGACUCGUUAGCUCAGUUGGUAGAGCAAUUGACUUUUAAUCAAUGGGUCACUGGUUCGAGCCCAGUACGGGUCAUAUAUGCGGGUUUGGCGGAAUUGGCAGACGCACCAGAUUUAGGAUCUGGCGCUUAACGGCGUGGGGGUUCAAGUCCCUUAACCCGCAUUAAGAUAUAACAAAUGAGCCGGCUUAGCUCAGUUGGUAGAGCAUCUGAUUUGUAAUCAGAGGGUCGCGUGUUCAAGUCAUGUAGCCGGCAUUUUUAGAUAGAAGAAAACAGUGCGAACGUAGUUCAGUGGUAGAACACCACCUUGCCAAGGUGGGGGUCGCGGGUUCGAAUCCCGUCGUUCGCUUAGAGAGGCCGGGGUGGCGGAACUGGCAGACGCACAGGACUUAAAAUCCUGCGAUUGGUAACGAUCGUACCGGUUCGAUUCCGGUCCUCGGCAUAAUAUGGAGCACCCUUAGCUCAACUGGAUAGAGUACCUGACUACGAAUCAGGCGGUUAGAGGUUCGACUCCUCUAGGGUGCAUUUUUCUAUUUAACUCGGGAAGUAGCUCAGCUUGGUAGAGUACUUGGUUUGGGACCAAGGUGUCGCAGGUUCGAAUCCUGUCUUCCCGAUUCAUUACAGAGAUAUGUGAGUGUGUAUUUUUAAAACUAGAUAUUAUAUACAUUAAGAGGGAAUCAGUUUGGUUCUCUCUUUUUUGAUUUUCAGUAAUUCAUUUUGGCAGCGUAUACUUUUUGUCUCCAGUAUUUUCAAUAAAUACCGUAGUUUAUGUAUACACAUUGAAAUUUAACAGAUUUUAUAACUCUUAUAAAUUUUUAAGAAAGCAAUAGAAGGGUUUUGUUCAACGUAUAAUAUAGAGAAUUGAAAUAAGAUAUGAACAGCUCUAUCAGGAAAGUUAAACCCAAAUCAUUCAUACCUCUCUCAACUAGAUGUAACUUACAAAACCCCUGACCUCAUGAGCCACUUUCUUCCUCCUCAUGAGGUCAGUUUUACUUUCUGCUGUUCCAGUAUCGUUUUUCCUCGCUAGAUUUCCUCAAAAGGGCAGACUCCUCCCUUGGUGCGUCACACGAUUUUUUCAUCUCGACUGUUCUUUAAUGCAUCAUUAACGACGCUUUUNAACAUACUCUACCCGUACCGCAAACCGACACAGGUAGUCGAGGCGAGUAGCCUCAGGUGAGCGAGAGAACUCUCGUUAAGGAACUCGGCAAAAUGACCCCGUAACUUCGGGAGAAGGGGUGCUGACUUUAGGUCAGCCGCAGUGAAUAGGCCCAAGCAACUGUUUAUCAAAAACACAGCUCUCUGCUAAAUCGUAAGAUGAUGUAUAGGGGGUGACGCCUGCCCGGUGCUGGAAGGUUAAGAGGAGUGCUUAGCGUAAGCGAAGGUAUGAAUUGAAGCCCCAGUAAACGGCGGCCGUAACUAUAACGGUCCUAAGGUAGCGAAAUUCCUUGUCGGGUAAGUUCCGACCCGCACGAAAGGCGUAAUGAUUUGGGCACUGUCUCAACGAGAGACUCGGUGAAAUUUUAGUACCUGUGAAGAUGCAGGUUACCCGCGACAGGACGGAAAGACCCCAUGGAGCUUUACUGCAGUUUGAUAUUGAGUGUCUGUACCACAUGUACAGGAUAGGUAGGAGUCUAAGAGAUCGGGACGCCAGUUUCGAAGGAGACGCUGUUGGGAUACUACCCUUGUGUUAUGGCCACUCUAACCCAGAUAGGUGAUCCCUAUCGGAGACAGUGUCUGACGGGCAGUUUGACUGGGGCGGUCGCCUCCUAAAAGGUAACGGAGGCGCCCAAAGGUUCCCUCAGAAUGGUUGGAAAUCAUUCGCAGAGUGUAAAGGUAUAAGGGAGCUUGACUGCGAGAGCUACAACUCGAGCAGGGACGAAAGUCGGGCUUAGUGAUCCGGUGGUUCCGUAUGGAAGGGCCAUCGCUCAACGGAUAAAAGCUACCCUGGGGAUAACAGGCUUAUCUCCCCCAAGAGUUCACAUCGACGGGGAGGUUUGGCACCUCGAUGUCGGCUCGUCGCAUCCUGGGGCUGUAGUCGGUCCCAAGGGUUGGGCUGUUCGCCCAUUAAAGCGGCACGCGAGCUGGGUUCAGAACGUCGUGAGACAGUUCGGUCCCUAUCCGUCGCGGGCGUAGGAAAUUUGAGAGGAUCUGCUCCUAGUACGAGAGGACCAGAGUGGACUUACCGCUGGUGUACCAGUUGUCUUGCCAAAGGCAUCGCUGGGUAGCUAUGUAGGGAAGGGAUAAACGCUGAAAGCAUCUAAGUGUGAAACCCACCUCAAGAUGAGAUUUCCCAUGAUUAUAUAUCAGUAAGAGCCCUGAGAGAUGAUCAGGUAGAUAGGUUAGAAGUGGAAGUGUGGCGACACAUGUAGCGGACUAAUACUAAUAGCUCGAGGACUUAUCCAA